rnacentral:tRNA from 1 species
GGAGUAUAGCUCAGUUGGUUAGAGUGCUUGCUUGACAUGCAAGAGGUCGCUGGUUCGAAUCCAGUUACGCCC